GGGGUUGUGGCUUAGUGAUAGCGCAUGCACCUAGCACAUGCAAGGCCCUGGGUUUGAUUCUCAGCACCACA
rnacentral:tRNA from 1 species